UACAGAGGGUGCGAGCGUUAAUCGGAAUUACUGGGCGUAAAGCGUGCGUAGACGGUAGCGUAAGUCAGAUGUGAAAGCCCCGGGCUCAACCUGGGAAUUGCAUUUGAGACUGCUCUGCUCGGGUGCGGAAGAGGGAAGCGGAAUUUCCGGUGUAGCGGUGAAAUGCGUAGAUAUCGGAAGGAACACCAGUGGCGAAAGCGGCUUCCUGGUCCGACACCGACGUUAAGGAACGAAAGCGUGGGGAGCAAACAGG
rnacentral:rRNA from 1 species